rnacentral:rRNA from 1 species
UACGUAGGGGGCUAGCGUUGUCCGGAAUCAUUGGGCGUAAAGCGCGUGUAGGCGGUCCGGUAAGUCCGCUGUGAAAGUCGAGGGCUCAACCCUCGAAUGCCGGUGGAUACUGUCGGGCUAGAGUGCGGAAGAGGCGAGUGGAAUUCCUGGUGUAGCGGUGAAAUGCGCAGAUAUCAGGAAGAACACCCGUGGCGAAGGCGGCUCUCUGGGACGGUACUGACGCUGAGACGCGAAAGCGUGGGGAGCGAACAGG